UACGCACGUACGUAAAUCUAAUAAUUUUUAUUCUCCUCGAAUGUAAAAGUUAUAAAAUUGUUUAAUAGUGCACGUAGGUUCGUGAAUGUUUUACAAAUCCCAUUAACAUCAAUAAUAAAUAUCAGUUUUAGACGAAUUGCGUUUGGUGAGUGGCGCGAGAAGAGUUAGAGGCUGAAGGAGAGACUGGAGGAAAGGGUGCAAGGGGGAAGGAGAUGGGAAUGGUGGAUGAAACGUACUUUCCUGAGAAUACGAGGACUCACGAGGUUAUGGUUCGACGAACGAGUACCUACGCAGUCACUCUUUCCGCAUCCUUGAGCCCAUACGACUCACUCUCUCUCAUCGAAUUCGUUUCUAGAGAAGAGAGAGAAGUAAUGAGAGGGAGAAAUCGAGCGCUCGCUUGUAGGAUUAGAUAAAACGCCGAGUGAAAGUCUAUGGACAACGUUGAGAAUACUGCAGUGAUGUUUCGUCUCAAAAGAAAGGAACAGAAGGAAAGAAGGAAGGAAGCAAAGAAAGAAAGAAAGAAAGAAAAAAGAAAAAAAGGAAA